rnacentral:rRNA from 1 species
ACGUAGGUGGCGAGCGUUAUCCGGAUUUACUGGGUGUAAAGGGCGUGUAGGCGGGUCCUCAAGUCGGAGGUGAAAUUCCCGGGCUUAACUCGGGCGGGGCCUUCGAAACUGCGGAUCUUGAGUGCUAAUGAGGAUGGUGGAAUGUGUAGUGUAGCGGUAAAAUGCGUAGAUAUUAGGAGGAACACCAGUGGCGAAGGCGGCUAUCUGGAAAGUAACUGACGCUGAGGCGCGAAAGCGUGGGGAGCAAACAG